rnacentral:rRNA from 1 species
CACUUUUAAUCGUUCGUUCGAUGUCAGCCACGUACCUACUGGUUCAAAUGAACAAUGAAAUACUUCUACCACUAAGGAUUUAUCUUAAUGCUCGAUCCAGGACGUACAACUAGCACGAAGUUCCGAUCUUCUCCUACCCUCCUCCCCUGCGCGCGAGGUAUAAAACAAUACGUGUGAAAAGAUUUGAUAUGAAAAGAAGAAUUGUAUACGAGUAACAGGUCGUCUUCGACAUCUAAAGUCGCAUGUUAUUAAAGGUUUUACCAUCUUCCGCAAGUUCUGGACCGUCCCGACCCAGUUAGAGGGGAAGUACAAGUUCUGAGCUGAGACUACUCGGAAAUGUCGGCACGAUGGCCGACCCGUAGAAGUAGGACUCGGCACAGGCCUUGGUCUGGUUAUCCCCGUGGGACUCGUUCGUGAGCUCCGUACGACAGUUCAACCUGCUUACGUUGGUCCGGUUGACGGCACACACAGGUGCCAAGUAUGUUCAGUUCCACAAGCGAGUAGAACCCGGUCUUGCUCGUCAUGUUCUACUUGGGGGGUAUAAAAAGUAAGGAACUAUCUACCAAUGUAACAACAUACAACCAAUUUCUGUUACAAAAAGAAGAGCUUAAUACAUUGGAGUUUGUUGUCAUUCUAUAUUGACAAAACAAUCAAAACGUUGGUUCCGAAGGU